rnacentral:rRNA from 1 species
UGGGUUUGACAUACAGGUGGUAGCGAAUUGAAAGAGGAGCGAGCCUUAGGGGAGUCUGAAC